GUGCCAGCAGCCGCGGUAAUACGUAGGGUGCGAGCGUUAAUCGGAAUUACUGGGCGUAAAGCGUGCGCAGGCGGUUCGUCAAGUCUGAUGUGAAAUCCCCGGGCUCAACCUGGGAACUGCAUUGGAUACUAGCGAGCUUGAGUGUGGCAGAGGGGGGUGGAAUUCCACGUGUAGCAGUGAAAUGCGUAGAGAUGUGGAGGAACACCGAUGGCGAAGGCAGCCCCCUGGGCUAACACUGACGCUCAGGCACGAAAGCGUGGGGAGCAAACAGGAUUAGAAACCCGCGUAGUCC
rnacentral:rRNA from 1 species